CCGACUGUCACCGAGUGUCGCAGGGACCCUUUUUGUUGUGUCUAGUGGGGAACAAGUACGGGCCGUGUAUCCUACCCUGCUCCCUCACCGAGGCUCAGUUCACCACGGCGCUGACGUGCGCCCCGCCGGGAGAGGAAGUUGAAGGUCGUGAGGAGCUGGAAUCGAGCUACCUGAUCAAUGACACCACGUCGCCGCCGACCUAUGACCUCAAGGUC